AAGUGAAGCUGCUGCUGGAUAUACCGGUCCAGUCGCGGAAAGCGAGGGUUACAGCUAUUCAACACGAGCAGGGCAACAGCUGUAUUAGCACCAUCACUGGGGGUAAACUAGCAGCUUGGCAGCGCCACCUGAAAUUUCUACCUUAUAAACUGGAAUAGUGUUUGCGACAUUUGCUUUUUGGGAAACUAUACUGCCUGUAGUGGACCUACAGAAUCCUUACAAGCGUCUUACAGACUGAUAUCUACUCUUUGAAUUAUUUUGCUGUUAAUGACUCCCCAUCUGACUCAAAACCUCUGUGUUUGUGUGUUUUAACAAUAUCACAACCUCCGCUAACCCUUCCUUCUCUCUGACCCCUCUCCAACAUCCCCUGUUAAGGUGAGUUGUGUCUAAUCAUCACUUUUUCCUUGUGUGUGUCGAUGUGUGGAAUGCCUUUCGCGCCUGGUUCUCAGCAGUAUCCCGUCAUGUUUGCAAACCUUGCUUUGCUGCCUCAGCAUCAUACAGACCUCCCCACCUCCAUCCUCCCUUGGAAACAGCUCAUAAUAACAAGAGUGCUCACAUACUCUUUGCACUAUUAGAUGUUGCCAUGCAUGCUGAGCAACGAAGCAAUGCUUGAUCCCCUUCUCAUCAUCUUGUGAUCCAUCUGCUAGGUGGUGUAGAUAGCAGUUGCUGUUGUAUGUCCUUCUAGUUUCUUUCCCACGUCCCUGUUCUCUGAAGCUUUAAUGAGGUUUGGACAUCAUUAGCACCGCAUUGCCUUUAUCAUUGGAGGUCCUUUCACAAGCAGCUCUCUUUAACCUGAGCAGGGACUACAUUUACUG